GGCGGUUCUCGGGUGACGCACCCCAGAAUUGGGCUCCCUCCUUUGUGGUUCCGGGCUCGACACCUGAGAACCACG
rfam:Myotis brandtii contig206221, whole genome shotgun sequence.